rnacentral:rRNA from 1 species
CCAGCCCGCUCAGAACUCAAAGGAAUUGACGGGGCCCGCACAAGCGGAGGAGCAUGUGGUUUAAUUCGAUGAUACGCGAGGAACCUUACCUGGGCUCGAACGUAAGAUGACUGUAGGUGAAAGCUUACAUCUCUUCGGAGCAUUUUACGAGGUGCUGCAUGGUUGUCGUCAGCUCGUGCCGUGAGGUGUCGGGUUAAGUCCCAUAACGAGCGCAACCCCUACCUUUAGUUGCCAUCAGGUUAAGCUGGGGACUCUAAAGGAACUGCCUACGCAAGUAGUGAGGAAGGCGGGGAUGACGUCAAAUCAGCACGGCCCUUACGUCCAGGGCUACACACGUGCUACAAUGGCCGAUACAGAGGGCAGCUACCUGGUGACAGGAUGCAAAUCUCCAAAGUCGGUCUCAGUUCGGAUCGGAGUCUGCAACCCGACUCCGUGAAGUUGGAUUCGCUAGUAAUCGCGCAUCAGCCAUGGCGCGGUGAAUACGUUCCCGGGCCUU